rnacentral:lncRNA from 1 species
AUGCUGCCUGAGGUGAGGACACCUCGAGGGCUGCUUCGCAAAUACUCCCAAUCCACCCCUCCUGUCCCCUUCAAACCUCAGCACGAGGACUUCUGCCCAAACACCCUACGAAAGGUGCUGCUUCAGCGCCUUCACCACCUCUUGAGGCUCAGGGAACUUGAGUUUGCGUGGGGGCCCCUUCUUAAUCCCAGUCCAAAGCUCCACACCUGGGAAAAGACCAAGGAAACGAAGUCACUUCGGGAUGCGCCAGCAUGUGCCCCAGAGCCCGAGGCCCUCCCGCCUGCUCCCCGGGGCGGGGCCCCACUCACUGCUGCCGUCCGGGCGCAGCAGCGUCACCUCGAAGCUGCCCCGCCGGGGCUUGGCCGGAUUCACCUCCACCGGGAGCUCCGGGGUCUCCAGGCGCAGCGCCUGGCUCAGGGCCGCGGCGUUGCGCCCGUAGACGCGUCAGCUCGUGCUAGGGGAAAAAGGGGAAGGUCGGAGGCGGGGGCCUCGGAGUGCGGCGCCCCGGCCCGCCUCCCCGGGCCUCCCCGGGCCUCCGGGGGCCCCUCACCAAUGCUCGAUCACGACCGUCGCCUCCUCCACGGCCUUCCUGCCGCUCGCCGGCUUCUCCCGUUUCUCCGCCGCCGCGACCCCCGCCGCCUCGGCCUUCCGCUUCCUCCCGCGAGAAGCCAUGGCGCCUGGAGCCGAGCUGACCUGGGCGGCAAUAGGGGUCCGGCCAACGCCGCUCCACGCGCUGAGCUCCAAACCGCAGGCCAGAAAGCCCGCCGGCGGAACAAUGCCUCCCCCGGGGCGCACCGAGCGUGGCCGGCGCACACGCGGCCUGGAGGCGGGGCUGCCUGGGCACAACCACUCCGCCCGCUACGGGGGGGGGGUAGGAGGGGAGCUCUCUGGGCACAACCACUCCGCCCACAGCGGGAGGGGAGCUCUCUAGGCACAUGCCCGCGGGGGGAGGCGGGGCUGCCUGGGCACAACCACUCCGCCCACGGCGGGAGGGAAGCUCUCUAG